AAAGGAAUUGACGGGGGCCCGCACAAGCAGCGGAGCAUGUGGUUUAAUUCGAAGCAACGCGAAGAACCUUACCAGGACUUGACAUCCCCUUGAUCGGUAUAGAGAUAUACCUUUUCUUCGGAACAAGGGAGACAGGUGGUGCAUGGUUGUCGUCAGCUCGUGUCGUGAGAUGUUGGGUUAAGUCCCGCAACGAGCGCAACCCUUAUCUUUAGUUGCCAUCAGGUAAUGCUGGGCACUCUAGAGAGACCGCCGGGGAUAACUCGGAGGAAGGUGGGGAUGACGUCAAAUCAUCAUGCCCCUUAUGUCCUGGGCUACACACGUGCUACAAUGGCCUGAAACAGAGAGAAGCGAAGCCGUAAGGUGAAGCAAACCUCAGAAACCAGGUCCCAGUUCGGAUUGUGGGCUGCAACUCGCCCACAUGAAGUCGGAGUUGCUAGUAAUCGCGAAUCAGCAUGUCGCGGUGAAUACGUUCCCGGGCCUUGUACACACCGCCCGU
rnacentral:rRNA from 1 species